AUGUUGCUACUUGGGCUCCUGUUGGGCCUAAGGAAAAUCACGGCAGGACAACUACAAUUUUUGGUGGACAAGAUGGCAGAUAGACUCCCCGUCUGGAAGGCCAGAUUGCUAUACCGUGCUGGCCGCCUAGAACUUGUCAACACCACUUCGGCAUCGAUGCUAAUUCACGCCAUGAUGGCGAUGGACCUACCCAUCAAGACUCUGGAAGCUGCUAACAAAGUUUGCAGAAGUUUUCUAUGGAAGGGCCAUCGGGACGUGCAUGGAGGGCACUGCUUGGUGGCCUGGGACCAUGUUUGCUUACCAAAGGAGUACGACGAACUCGGUGUGCCCAACCUGCACCUACUCAACACGACUCUGAGAUCGCGAUGGCCAUGGCUUGCACGAACUAACCUAGGCAAACCAUGGUUUGAAUUCAACAUAUAA
rnacentral:rRNA from 1 species